CCCUCGGUCAGUCCCUGCCAUUUUGGGGCAGCCCCUGGGUCAGUCCCCACCAUUUUGGGGCAGCCCCUCGGUCAGUCCCUGCCAUUUUGGGGCAGCCCCUGGGUCAGUCCCCACCAUUUUGGGGCAGCCCUUGUGUCAGUCCCCGCCAUUUUGGGGCAGCCCCUGGGUCAGUCUCUGCCAUUCUGGACCGCACCAGAGGCUGACUGAGGCUCACGGAGGGCAGGGCGGAGCAGUGGCCGUCCCACCUGUACAGAGCUCAACGUGUUCCCUUCACACACAUUUCCCAGCUGGUUGUUUUGAGCCAGUCAACCCUUCCUCUGGUGUUGUGCAGAAAUAAAGCUGGAAGUGCAAUCCUGGAAGCAGUUUGGGAUGUUAUUAAACAGUCAAGCAAUAGAUUAUAAUGUUUUCCAUAAUUCCUGCCACUGCUGCUGCUGUGUGGGAAAUCAUAAAAUGGACAGGUAAGAAACUCAGCUGUCCUGAAACCCUUUUCAUCUGGGGAGAGGAGCAAAGGGUUAAGUGAGGUGUGAGUUAAAGGUUAUCUCAGUAUAUUGGGCUGAGUGAAGAACAAACAUUUAGAGGAGUAAUGUGAAUAAUAAGGAGAUGCCAAAUAGAUGAGAUCUUGUGCCCGUAGCAUACCUAUUAAUUAAGUGAGGAGAGCGGUACUUGGUGGAACACUUUGGUAACUUUCUGCCUUUUCCAGUGUUGCAGGGACCUUUCUGUGCUAUUGUGUACCUCCUGAUUAUUUGUGAAAUAGAAGGUUUGUAUGCAUCAGUUUCUGUAAGUGAAAGGGAAGAACCAAGAUCAAGAAUGGGAGCAGUUAAUUCCCCUUUUUCAGGGGAAAAGAGUGCCCACGUGUUCACUAGUGUUCAUUUUCUCCUUCGAAUGUGUGUGUUGUGACUGGUAGCCAUUAGAGCUUCAAUUCCCCUUUGUGGUCAGAGAAGGGAAAUGAAGUUCCUGUUGAGGGUGGUUCAGAUCACCUGAAUGAGUUGCCAGUUUUCUUUCCGCAAGGGGAAAGCCGAAAGUUGUUCUGUGGAUUCAUCCCUCAAAUUCAGCCUUGUGGAUUUGCACGUCAGGUUGAUGUCAGCAGUCCACAGAAUACUCACAUUUGGAAAAAAUGUUGUUGUAGCUGGAAGAUCUAAGAAUGUUGGAAUGCCUAUCUCGAUGCUGUUACAUACUGAUGGAGAGCACGAAAGGCCUGGAGGUGAUGCCACAGUGACCAUUACUCACAGAUACACCCCAAAAGAGCAGCUCAAGAUCCAUACACAGCUCGCUGACAUAGUAAUAGUAGCUGCAGGUAAUGCUCGUUGUUGUUAAUCCUCCAAUUGCAGCAUUUCCAACCCAAAAGGAGGACUGUGAGUCUGGCAGCGGCUGCUCCAGGCCCCACUGAGCAAGGUGUGCUCGCGCUUGCCGAGGGUGUUGCAGUGGGGAGGAUUUCUGCAGUAGGAAGGGCGAGUGAUGUGGCUCUUUGUUCUUGCUCUUCACAUUUGCAGACUCAUAAACUGUUUCUCGUCACAUGUGACACCUUUGCCUUAGGGAGACUUCAGAGUGAACUCAGGAUUGGGAACCAGUCAGUGCAUAGUUUAUACGGGUAUAAUUACGUAAAUUAAAACAUUCUCUGUGUCGUGCAAAAGUCAUGAGUCAUUUAAAUUCUGACAGGAGGGUUUCUUUAAAUCAGCUGGAGGCUGCAUUCAUAGAACCCCGUGGUAUCAUUCCCCUGCUGUUAAUAUUGAGGGCAACCCUGCUAAAUUAACUGAAGGUUUUGGUAACCUGUGUUAUUAUGGCUGGGUUCUUUUCCUUUUACAAUUAUCGUGUAGAGGGGAAGAGAAUGGUAAUGGCCUGGAGGCGGGGGUCUGAAAAAUCAGUGUCUCUACUCAUAAAGCAAUGUAGAGUGAAAUACUUAGAGUUUGACUCAUUUAUCCCAAAGAAACAAGCACAACUGCUUCUAAGAGACCUCUGUUUUUUGUUUACAGGU